GACGAACGCUGGCGGCGUGCUUAACACAUGCAAGUCGAACGAUGAUCCGGAGCUUGCUCCUGUGAUUAGUGGCGAACGGGUGAGUAACACGUGAGUAACCUGCCCCUGACUCUGGGAUAAGCGUUGGAAACGACGUCUAAUACUGGAUAUGAUCACUGGCCGCAUGGUCUGGUGGUGGAAAGAUUUUUUGGUUGGGGAUGGACUCGCGGCCUAUCAGCUUGUUGGUGAGGUAAUGGCUCACCAAGGCGACGACGGGUAGCCGGCCUGAGAGGGUGACCGGCCACACUGGGACUGAGACACGGCCCAGACUCCUACGGGAGGCAGGAGUGGGGAAUAUUGCACAAUGGGCGAAAGCCUGAUGCAGCAACGCCGCGUGAGGGAUGACGGCCUUCGGGUUGUAAACCUCUUUUAGUAGGGAAGAAGCGAAAGUGACGGUACCUGCAGAAAAAGCACCGGCUAACUACGUG
rnacentral:rRNA from 1 species